AUUGAACGCUGGCGGCAGGCCUAACACAUGCAAGUCGAACGAGUGGCGGACGGGUGAGUAAUGUCUGGGAAACUGCCUGAUGGAGGGGGAUAACUACUGGAAACGGUAGCUAAUACCGCAUACCAUCAGAUGUGCCCAGAUGGGAUUAGCUAGUUGUGGGGGUAACGGCUCACAAAGGCGACGCGCCCUAGCUGGUCUGAGAGGAUGACCAGCAAAACGGGAAUGGAGACACGGUCCAGAUCCCUACGGGAGGCAGCAGUGGGGAAUAUUGCACAAUGGGCGCAAGCCUGAUGCAGCAAUGCCGGGUGUAUGAAGAAGGCCUUGGGGUUGUAAAGUACUUUCAGAGGGGAGGCGUUACCAGCAGAAGAAGCACCGGCUAACUCCGUGCCAGCAGCCGCGGUAAUA
rnacentral:rRNA from 1 species